GGACAAUUAGCUCAGUUGGUUAGAGCGUUCGCCUCACACGCGAGAGGUCAUAGGUUCGAGUCCUAUAUUGUCCACCA
rnacentral:tRNA from 1 species